AUGCCAUUUCCUCUUGUUCAGGCUCAAUCCCAGUGUCAUCAGAAGAUGCUGAGCCGUACUGAUUCAUGAUGCUACCACCAACAACUCUCUUGGAUCUUCUCCUGGUAGGUGAUGAAGAAGCUUCAGUCUCAGAUUGACUAUCCAUCACAAUCUUCUCUCUCUCGGAGUGACAAGCCAUGUGACCACAAAGAGCUUUAGAAUAAGGGAAGCCUUUACCACAUUCUCUGCAAUAAAGAAGUUGCUGUUGGUGUUGUUGAUGUUUCAGAGCCAUCAUGCUUCUUUGAACCACAAACCUCUUGUUCUUUUUAGGAUUCUCUCUCAGACCGUAGCUAGAGUUGCCUCCAUUUGACUCUGAGAUUAUUGAGUUCAUCUGAAUCAGCUGAGUUCUCGUGGUUCAUGUGAGUUCUGAUGUGACCUCCAAGUGAUUUACCACAAGGGAACCUCUUGCUGCAGAACCUACACGCAAACUUCCUCUCUUGGCACUGCUCCAUCUUUUAAGACUAAUAAUAUCAAACACUGUAUAAUAAGCAAACAUCAUAAGAAGAAGGGAAAGUAGUGAGAACCCAUUUGUUUGAUUUACCUCAAGUCUUGGAAGUAACACUUAUAUCCCCAGAUGGUAAGAGAGAGAAGCAUCAAGCACAAAGCUUGAUACUUUUUUCACAGAGAUCAGAUGUUGUUGAAUGUAACAGUCCUCCCUUGUUAAAUUACAGAUCCUACCAUCAAGCAAAAGAGAACACAGAAACAGGAAACAAAUAAAACAGACUUUGAAAAUAUCUAAAGUUAGGAGAUUUGCUUUCUUUUUAGAGUUGGGAAUGAAAAGAUGAAAAAUUAUAAUCAGAUUUACAGAAUGCAAUUUUCCCAAUUGAGAUUAAGGAUAGGUUUAAAUGAGUGGAUACCAGUGUUACAUGAAAGUCUCUAUUUGUCUAUUGGCAAAUCUCAUUCAGUACAAAAUCCCACCUGACGCAGGGGUUUUUUCAUGUUACACAUAAUAUACAGCUCCCAAAUUGAUGGAACGCAUGCGUUUCUCAUUGAGUCAUUGUCCUCUACUCUCUCAACCAUAUCUAAAUAUUUUCUGCUUUUUUUUCUUAUGAAGUUUAACUAUAAGCACAAAACAAGCAAAAAUACACUAUUUUCAUUUUCAUGAUUGUUUACACACUCUACAAGUCUACAAAACAAGCGUGGAAAAUAAAAUAUCAAUAAUAUCUGCCCAAGUAACGUAGGACUCUAAUUACAAGAUCAAAAGAGUAGAAUCAAGAUUCAAGAAAGAUCCACAAAGAAAUGAUGAACUUUCGUCUUCGGGCAAAAGAAUUCUAUAUAUGAAUAACACAGAUCUCUCGAAAAAAGAACUCCAAGAAACCCCAAGAAAUGUGUCAACUAUAAAAUAUCUAACUAGCAAAGGUCUCUGUGACUCUGUCUAUAUGUAUAUGUAUACGAAUUGGGGCAAGAGCUUUAGUUGUGAAGAGGAUUUGGACCGGAGGGAACGAGUCUUUUAUCGACGCCGUACCUUGGAUCAAUCUCCGGCGGAGGAGGGGAAACAAGUGGCUGCUUCCAGCUGCUACGGUGGAUCCUUUGAAGCUCAAAGCACAUAGAACGCGCGUAAGGACGAGAGAAGGAGUCACAAGGAGUCACGUAAUACGGGAGGUGAACCCUCGGGAUGAAUCGGUGAGUUCGGUAACGGAAGUUUCUUGAUGUCAUCGUCCGGUUUACUUCUGCGGUUGGAUAAGUGAUGGAAGUUGUGAGGAGGAGGAGGAGGAGGAGAGAGAUCAAGAUCGAACGGUUCAGGUGUGUCGUGGACAUUGCUUGAUUUGGUGAGAGAGAUAGCAAGUUUUUGUUGAAGAAGGAAAAGUUCAAACUUUGUGGGAAAGAGGGAAGUAAAGCAAAUUGGGAUAUUAAUGCAACGCAGAAGAUGCACAUGAAUCGACGUUAAUUAGUUCGUUUUGUGGGUCCUUGCUUCAUUUUCAUAGACAUAAAUAUAGUACGUGAUACAUUCCAAUCGAUUUAUUUCACUUUCAUUCUUAUUUUAUACUACAUUGUUUUUUGUUUUUUAUUUUUAUUAUUAGUCUGACCGGCGAUUUAGGAAUGAGUGUUUAUUUUAUCAUCAACGAUCAAAGAUUUGUUUUUCUCUGUUCAAAGUGCGAUCGGAUGAUGUGGGUCUGAGGUAACAAUCUCUAUCACCCUACUUUUUAUAUUUUAUUUUAAUAUUUAUUUUAUAAUUCUUAUAGUUGAUUUGCCAUUUUUCUAUUAAAGUAAUUUGCAUAAUCAGUGUUAUUUUGUUUGAUGAAUGUAGGUUAGUCAUUUAAAGUCAAAUCCAUCCUAAAAUCCACAUCCUCUGUGAUUAUAAAUCUUCCCCUUUUCACUUUAUUUAUUUUGUUUCUCCUUGUUUGAAAAGAUGAAUGUAGCUCCAUUUGUAGAAUAUGGCUUUCUAGAUGCAACAAUUUUUUAUUGAUAAUGAUUAUCUAUUAAAUCAAAUUAUUUCAUAAUUUGCUUCUUCUUGUGUUGCGAGAAUCAUGUGAUUGCGUUUUCGAGUUUUACAUAUAUAUACAAUUAAAGCUGCACGAGUUGUGUUUAUAAGCAGAGCAAGAUCCCUGUGUGUAAAAGCUUUUUUUGUCCUGAAGAUCUUAAUGCUUUGCAGUUUGUCUGCAGAUUCAUCAUAUAUGAGAGAGGUUUCAUAAAAACAAACAAUGCGAUGCCGUUUUUAAGAACCAGGUCUCCUCUUGAUUCUUAUUUUCCACUCAUAUGGUUUCAUUUACGCAUGUACUGAUAUUUUUUUGGUUUUCUAUUGAUCCGCUUGUGUAUAGAGUUAAGAGGAAUUUGGUGGAUGAAGCAAAGGGAAAUAACUCAACUGAAGAUAUGAAUUUGAGUGAUCAUAAUACAUCAUCUGAGAAUGCAACUAAAAGACAGCUUCCUGUGUUUCUCUUACCAAACUCAACUUCACAAGCUUGCAACGCUAGUCCUGUUAAGGCCAGGAGGAAAAUGAUUGACCUUCAACUCCCUGCACACAUGUAUCUUGAUACGGAUGAGACCGAUGAUAAUACGAUCUGCGCUCCAUAUAAACGCUCUAAAUCUGGAAGAGGGGAUGAUGCUUCUCAUCAGAGCAACCCUUCAGGAUCUUGCUUAGAUGUGAAGAACUCAACUGGCUUAUUAGCUGACUUGAAUGAGCCACUCACAUUGCAAGAUUCAGAACCUCUUGCGCUCUCCAGGGAUACCUAUUCUCAUUAUAGGAGACACAAUGCAGAUGUUGAAGGGCACUGGUCGGAGAAAAACACAAGUCAAAAUGGAUGGAUGGUCCUUGACGCAGGUUACAUGCUCUCUUCACUUUCAUUCCAUUUCUAAUGAUAUAUGUUUUUAAAUAUGUCGUAAUAGUGUCAUUUAUGAUACAUGUUGACGGCUCUUAAAAUGGUUUUUUUUUUCUAAUUGUAUGUUGCCGUUUUUGCUUAAGUUCUAUUUCUCAAAUGUUAAUAGGGCAUGGCGGAAGCACUCAGAGUCAGAGAGACCUGCAUAUACCUUCCCGUUCUGACAAUGCAGUUCAACCUCAGAGGCAGAGCUAUCCUCCGACUGAUUAUAGCAAUGUAACAUUCUCCCGGGAAAGAGCACAUCGUGAGCUGGAAGCUCGUUCAGUGAAUCCUCAAGCUUCUUAUGGUAGCUACGUGGAAUCAAGUGUGGCUUCUUAUGAAUGCUCAGCUGGAUUGCCCUGGCUAAAACCUAAGCUCCCUUGCAAAAUUGAAGUAUCCAAUGGCUUCUUGGACUUGAAUGCAUCAACAAAUCAAUUCACAGAUGGCCUGAAUAGUGUUUCCCCUCAGAAAAGUUUGAGAUCAUCUGCUUCAUGCUCUAACAAUGCCAACACUGUAAGAGUUGAGAAGCAUACUUCCCUUCUCUCUCACUCCUUGUGCAUCGCUGAUCAGCAUAAGGAAAUGAACCACUUGUUAAAGCGAGACUUCAAUAUCAACUUGCCAUGUGAUGAUGCCUCGGUUUCUGUUGACCAGCAUGGUGCUAAAGCCUUUUGUCUUAAAAAGGAAGGAGAGAAGAAAGCUGCCAACAUCAGACACUGCUUUGAUUUGAAUGCAUGUGCUAGUGAGGAUGAUGAAGGUUCAGGCUUACAUUCUAGUCUAAGAGUGAAAACAAAAGGAACUUUUUCGAUAGAUUUGGAAGCUCCCCCCACUCUCCAGAGUGAAGAAGAAGAAGAAGAAGAAGAUGGAGAGAGCUCGCAGGAUGAACUCAUCAAGGUAGCAGCAGCAGAAGCAAUAGUCGCCAUUUCAUUGUCUGAUCAUCCUGAUGACGCAGCUUCCUCUUCUUCAACUGAUGUGGCAUCGAAAAGUCCACUCUCUUGGUUCGCAGACAUUAUCACUUCUUGCAGUGAUGAGUUAGAAAGAAAGAUUGAUGGUUCUGGAGAAGAGAAUUCUUCUGGGGAGAUUGACUACUUUGAAGCCAUGACCCUGAGUUUACGUCCGACCAAGGAAGAAGACUACAUGCCAGAGCCAUUAGUCCCUGAGAAUAUGAUCUUCGAAGGGACGGGCUUGAACAAGCCAAGAAGAGGAAAAGCAAGAAGAGGAAGACCGAAGAGGGAUUUCCAGAGAGAUACUCUCCCUGGACUCUCUUCUCUAUCAAGGCACGAAGUCACUGAAGAUAUACAGUUGUUUAGUGGGCUUAUGAGAAGCAGAGAGUCCACCUCUGGUGGAGACAGUAGGGCUACAGGAUGGGGAAAAGCGACAAGAAGACCGAGGAGACAAAGGUGCCCUCCUCCUGCAACUGUAAUCUUAACAUGAUAGUUUGAGGAAACAAUCAGAACUUCACAAACCUUGAAACAUUACAAAGAGUACAAUUAGUAUUAGAAUACAUUGAUGUUAUUGAAUGUCACCUUUUGUUGGUUAUAAAAAAGAUACAUCUGUUUAUUAUUGCAACUGUUUGAUGCCAAGGUACAGUUUACCUUUUCUACCAAUCAUUGUUCUAAUAUGAUCUUUAAAGUAUUAAAUCCUAUUGUACUCUUAACUAAUAACCAAAUUUAAUCAGUUUGAUAUUUAAAAAAAAAUUCUAACAAGGGACAGAUAUAAUUAUGAACAAAUAAAAGUAAAAAAAGUAUGCUUGAAUCUGAAGCAAAGAACAAAUAAAACAGAGGAGAAACAAGAAUGAGAAGAACAAAAUCUUGAUUUUUCAGUUACUGCUGAUGGCAUUAAUCUAUAGGAGCAGGAAGAUUGAGAUCGAUGAGUGUAUGCAUCUCAUGAGCCACUUGGUGUUGUUGUUGGAUCACCAAAGUCCUGUGCUCAUGAUUACCAAGGAAAUGUGAUCUCUUGUGACCACCCAAUGCUUGUCCUGAUUUAAACACCCUGAAGCAAAUAGGACACUCAUGGCCUUUGCUUUUCUUCUUUGCACCACCACCACUUGCUUUCUUAACCAUUGUGGAUUUAUUACUAUGAAUCUUGAUUGUGUCUGCACAAGAUUCAGUCUCCAAGCUUAGCUGAUCACCACUGUCAUAAACUGAUUCAGCUAACUCAUACUUGGUUUUCUUCCGACCGUAACAAGGAAACCCUCUUUUGCUUGUCCUCAGAUCAUACUUUGUAGGCGAACGACCUGAUCCGGUUCCUGACCGUUCCUUCCGGAAUCUGUUAUUGAGCCCCAUUGCAGCAUUGUUAAUGAAUCCAGCAUCAACAGAAACGUCUGAGUCUAACUUCUUUGGUCCAUUCCUGAAGUAUCCAGAAUCAGAAUUGUCUGAUUCAUACAGAACAUCUACUCCUCCAAGUUUGUCUUGCUUACAAAAUUUCUUCAGCUGUUCUCCUGAAGAUGACUUGGUCUCAAGUAUCACAGAGUAGUCUGAAGACUCAGCCAUGUUAUGUCCUUUCUUGAAACUUGAGUCUCUAGACAUCAUCAUCAGAGACAAUGCCAUUUCCUCUUGUUCAGGCUCAAUCCCAGUGUCAUCAGAAGAUGCUGAGCCGUACUGAUUCAUGAUGCUACCACCAACAACUCUCUUGGAUCUUCUCCUGGUAGGUGAUGAAGAAGCUUCAGUCUCAGAUUGACUAUCCAUCACAAUCUUCUCUCUCUCGGAGUGACAAGCCAUGUGACCACAAAGAGCUUUAGAAUAAGGGAAGCCUUUACCACAUUCUCUGCAA
rnacentral:lncRNA from 1 species